rnacentral:rRNA from 1 species
AGAGUUUGAUCCUGGCUCAGGACGAACGCUGGCGGCAUGCCUAACACAUGCAAGUCGAGCGAGUGGAGUUCUUCGGAACAAAGCUAGCGGCGGACGGGUGAGUAACACGUGGGCAACCUGCCUCAUAGAGGGGAAUAGCCUUCCGAAAGGGAGAUUAAUACCGCAUAAGAUUGUAGCUUCGCAUGAAGUAGCAAUUAAAGGAGCAAUCCGCUAUGAGAUGGGCCCGCGGCGCAUUAGCUAGUUGGUGAGGUAACGGCUCACCAAGGCGACGAUGCGUAGCCGACCUGAGAGGGUGAUCGGCCACAUUGGGACUGAGACACGGCCCAGACUCCUACGGGAGGCAGCAGUGGGGAAUAUUGCACAAUGGGGGAAACCCUGAUGCAGCAAUGCCGCGUGAGUGAUGACGGCCUUCGGGUUGUAAAGCUCUGUCUUCAGGGACGAUAAUGACGGUACCUGAGGAGGAAGCCACGGCUAACUACGUGCCAGCAGCCGCGGU